GAGAGAGAGAGAGAGAGAGAAAUAGAAAAAGAAAGAGAAGAAACGAAGAUCGUGAUUCGAUACGGAUUUAGAGGUACGUAUCGAUACAUACAUGAACGUAUGCACGAGUAUGUACGAUGUACGUAUAUAUGUAUGUUUAUACGUACAUAUACAUGUCGCAAGAAAGGACGACGUGCGUGGACCGACCGUAGGGAUCGUUCGGAACGCGAAUGCAUGUAAGUAAGUAGAGAUGGUAUCGCUUUCAUCUCGCAGCUCGAUCUCCGCUCGUUUACAAGAGAAUGUAGACUCUUGAUUCCAGAGGUGAGAGAGAUCGAAACGCGAAUCAACAACGGAGGAGAUACACGCGGCGAUGAAAACGGAAAACGAAGUGGUUACGGGUUGGGGAAUGCAUGCUCGACCGGCACGUGCCCACGUGUAUUUAUAUGCGGAAUGACAAACUACUGGAGUAGAGAAUUAACAAGUGGAUUCUACUAUGAUAAGAGAAAAACGUAACUUUGUUAUCUGGUAUC